rnacentral:rRNA from 1 species
GCACCGGCUAACUCCGUGCCAGCAGCCGCGGUAAUACGGAGGGUGCGAGCGUUAAUCGGAAUUACUGGGCGUAAAGCGCAUGCAGGUGGUUUGUUAAGUCAGAUGUGAAAGACCCGGGGCGUCAACCUCGGAAUAGCAUUUGAAACUGGCAGACUAGAGUACUGUAGAGGGGGGUAGGAAUUUCAGGUGUAGCGGUGAAAUGCGUAGAGAUCUGAAGGAAUACCGGUGGCGAAGGCGGCCCCCUCGGACAGAUACUGACACUCAGAUGCGAAAGCGUGGGGAGCAAACAGGAUUAGAUACCCUGGUAG